rnacentral:tRNA from 1 species
GUGAGGUCCGGGUAGUUGGCCUCGUACUCGUCGAUCUCGUCGUCGGACACGAGGACCGACGUGUCGAGGGUGAUCGUGUCGUUCGCCGCGUC